rnacentral:lncRNA from 1 species
UGACUCGCAUAAAUAAUUUUGUUCGAAGAACAUUUAUAUGCAGUUGUACUUCGCAGCACUUCACUUGCAAUUUGCAAUUUCUAGUAUACUUUCAUUAUCUCUAUAUAAAAUUUCUCAAUCAUGCAACUAGUGCUGAGGAUGGACACAAGUGUGUCCAAAAUAUUUGUAUGAUAUAAAAUUUAUGUUUAUAAUGUCAUCGUAUGCAAUUGUUUUACUUUUGUGUCUGCUUUUAUUUAUUUGUGAGACAUACGUGGAAUCAAACACAUCUGAUUUUACUAUAUGAAAUUUAGGUAUUGUAUAUUUCUAGGUUCUUGAUAUGAUAGCGCCCCCGUACACAUCUGAGUUUGUGCAGCUGUUUCUUCCAAUCAUCGAAAACAAUGACAUAACUGGGACUUUACGGAGUGAAGAUGGCAAAGAUCCGGUGUCUGAUUUCAUAGUAUAUUGUAAGACUCAUUAUUCAAGUGCAACAGCGACAUGAGAGCAAGGAAUUUAAACACAAUUUGAAGAUUUCUUUACUUCUCUGCGGCAUUAAAGUACAAUAAAACUUGGUCUGAUUUUACAUGAGCUUAUACACUGCGACGGAUAUGGAUUAAACGUUUCGACAAUUUAAGGAACAAGGCGAUAAUAAUGAUGAUUUAAGUUGUUGAGUCUUCGCAAACAACCUGAUGAUAUUACAAAUGUAAUAAAAUUGAUAAUAUGCCAAAAAACUCACACCUUUACUCCGGUAAUUUGGUCACACAUCAUGAAAUAGCGUGUUGGUAUGCCAUACUGUUGCAACGAUUUAUCAGCACAUUGGAAUUUGAAUCUACCUGGUACCCACUUAUACUGUACUGUACUCCAGAUGGAAAGAGAAACGCUGUAGAUAAAAAGCCUUUCCUAAGGAGGCAAACAAGUGAUCUUAGUACUUAAUCUUAUAAUUGGAAGAAGAACUUCUUACUCCUAUGCCGCAUGCAUUCCACGGUCCAUUAACAGGAGCAUGCAGGUGCUCCAGUGGAAGAGGACUGCUUACUGGGGGAAGAAACUAAUCAUUUCGUUGGGGAACACUACAUUAAAUGAAGCACUUUUACUAUACGAGAGUGUGCCUACUCUAAAUAAUUAUUUGCUCCAAUUACGGUGGUGCUUAAUUGACUUGUCAACCACUUUUAUGGCCCUCUCAUCCAAGACCUUGGACACUGUUGGACACUGAAUUAGGCAUGGGGUAAUCGUAAUUUGUAGUCAGUAGUAAUCAUUACAUGUUUUAAUAUAAUUGGGCGGAAUUUGUACUUGGGUUCAAAAAUGUAAUUUGUAAUUGUAGUGUAAUUAGAAAAAUGAAAUUGUAAUCUUGCACUAAUACUUUUGAUUACAAUUCAAAACUGUUUCUGUUUAUCAAAAUCUCAAAGUGACAUCCACUGAAUGGCACGAGACUCAUUCUGUUUAUUGCUUAUUCAAAAAUAACUGUUGCUGUCAAUAGUUUAUCCAGCUCUAAGCUAUUUCCUAAUGUUUGUUAUUUCACUUAAUCAUAAACCAAGAGGUUGUUAAUUUGCUUUAAAUAGGAUGUUAUAUAAAUUCCCCACUGAUCUAAGUGAACCCUGGUGAGCGUGAGUCUUGCCCAUUUCAAGACUUCUAGGUCAUUUGGCUAUGCCUGUUGGAACUUCCUGAACACUAUCCUGGAUUGGGCAAUACAGAUUAUCUUUUGUUCCACUGUAAGCAGGUGGACUCUGAAAAUAGCUUUAGUAAACAAUUUCUUAAAGAAUUUCGACUGUCAAAAUUAGGAAUGCAGAAAGAUUCCGUGUAUUUCUGCAAGUGGAAAUGGCACAGCGAGCAGCUCUCUGAGAAGGAUAUGUGCGUCCAAUACUGUAGAAUGACAAUAUUACUGUAGAACUGUUUGAUCGAUGAAGCACAAUGAAAGUAAACUUAAGCUGAACACUCACUGCAUCCGAGUUUCGUCGGCCGACGUGAUUCAAUGCAGAACUCAACGCACAUGCAACUGAUCGUUUUUAAUGAUGAUUCGUUCAGACAGCCAGGUGACCAUCAGCUGGCGGUGUCGUGUUGUCUAGCGCUCACAGGGAACAAAGUUGGAUCCGUUGAGAUGCAGUGAGUGACCAGCUGUGCUGAUGAUUAAUAUUAUUAUUUUUUCUUUUCUCCUCGUAUCAAUUUAUAUCUAGUU